GAGCCCAGUGGAGUGAAGAUGCCAUCAGGUAUACAGGAGCUGCCGGAGCAAGGACAUCUUCUAAUUUGCAUAUCUUAAUUGCGUGUUCUUCUUUGAGUCAGUGUGUGUGUGUGUGUUUUGGGUAUCGCAAUGCCAACCAACCAAUAGGCAGGCUGCAAGACGGCAAGGACGCAGGAUACUGGGACUUGCCAAGUUAUUGGCUUUAUUUUGGCAAAGUGAAAUCUUCUCCCCUUUGCACAGCGCUUCUAAUUUGUUUUAAUUGCAGUGACAACAAGGCCGCCACCGGCAGCUGUACAAACAAUAACACCACAUGCAAUUAAAAUUGAAUAAAAAAAAACACCGCUAGGAAAAUGGCUCUGAUGUUUAUUUAACUGUUAC
ensembl:ncRNA lncRNA:CR45313 long non-coding RNA:CR45313